CUUCCCAUGGCAGAUCUGAUACUAAUGAUGGCUUCUUGAUAUAUGGCGUUACUUCUCGGAUGAACUUUACUACGAACAGAAAUCAAAGAAGAAGAGUGAAAGACAACAAGGGAAGAAGCAGGAAGACCAACUGGAAGGUUAUCACAGUGUCCUGUUGGAUCUCCAUACUGGUUAAACUCAACAAAAGCCAAAGGGCAAGGAAACCUGUUGAUGUGGUACAAGCAGGUCAGCAUCCUGGGUCAGAAAGCAGGUAGAGAAAGAGAAGUGGACCUAAAGGGACAAACAGAAGACUUUCAGCACCAUUACCAAAGAAGUGCGCAUAGACAAGAGGACACUCCACUAUUAAAGGGCUGGGGAGAAAAGAAGGAACAGCAAGAGACAGGAGCCCCAUGAGAGACAAGUACUCCACAGAAAC